rnacentral:rRNA from 1 species
UGCCAGCAGCCGCGGUAAUACGGAGGGGGUUAGCGUUGUUCGGAAUUACUGGGCGUAAAGCGCACGUAGGCGGAUUGGAAAGUUGGGGGUGAAAUCCCGGGGCUCAACCCCGGAACUGCCUCCAAAACUAUCAGUCUAGAGUUCGAGAGAGGUGAGUGGAAUUCCAAGUGUAGAGGUGAAAUGCGUAGAUAUUUGAAGGAACACCAAUGGCGAAGGCAGCUAUCUGGAAUAAUACUGACGCUGAGGUACGAAAGCGUGGGGAGCAAACAGGAUUAGAUA